CACUACACCCCAUAUUUUAUCUUUUCCAUCCCCUUUUGACCCUGGGAUCUCUCAGCUGGUAUUUCGUUAUGCAGUUCCUCAUCUGGAAUUUCCAUUUUCUUUUCAACAGAGACACUUAUGGCUCUUCAAGCCCAGUCUUAGCAUUUUUCUUUGCCUCUACAUUUCUGCUGAGAGUUGUAACAGAGUGUUUUCUUGAUGGAACUUUGUUUGUUUUAGGGGUGUUGUGACACUGUGUGUCAAGGCCACCAUAAACAGGAUGAAAUAUGGCCUUGGGACAAUUAGAGGCAUUUGAUAUAUUUCCAAGUUGAUGUGGAUCACUCUCUGAGUGUGCCAAUCCAUUGAAGACAUUUGUUACUUGCAUAGUCUUAACUACAUCUCUAUCCCCUUCUUUCAUAUGCUGCCUAAAAAGGACAAGCGGUUGCCAGUUGGAAGCAAUGACUCUGCUCAAGAAAUAAAACCAGCCAUUGUAAGCACAGGAUACAGCCUUUUAUUAUGAGAAGCACAGACACCUACACCCCAUGGAAAAUUUAUCCCCAGAAGGGAGGGUUCUCUGACUGCUGGUGAAACUUCUCUGACUGCUGGUGCUGUCUUUGAAAAACAGGCUGAACUGCCUUGAUAAUCCUCAUCUGUUCUUGUGGCCUAGAGGAAUUCUGGCUAUUUUGACUGUGUGAUGGGUCUGGGGAAGGUGAGUAUCCCACUGCCACUGCCUGGAGACUUCACUGCAGUUGGAAGGCUAGCUGGAGGCCUGAAAAAUGCUGCUGGCCCCUACCCUGACAAUAGACAAUUGUAAAAUAACUCACUGCGUGAUAAGAUAAAACAAAUAUCCCCAGGACUUCCUUGUGGCAUGACAAUUUUCAGCUGUAAAAGAUAGCUUCCUGGGAUGUCCUUCAAUUUGCAAUCACUUGCAAUGAGACAAAAGCAAAAAUAUUACCUACCAGUGAAGUAACAACAUGCUGUCCAAGAAUGUUAAAUAUAAAAAAAAAAGGUACCAAAAUUACAACAGAUUGACAACACGCGUUUUUCUUUGGUAGGCGUGAAAAACAUGAAUAGCCUUGCAAUAUAGCCUGGUGGUCCCAUUUUACAGCAAGGGCAAUGUAUUUGUUAUUUAUAACAGGUUAAUCAAUGAUUAACAGACAUCACAAUUAAUGGUUAAUUGAUUGUUUUAGACUUAGUUCACACGUGGCUUGCAGCAAUCUGUAACACUGCAUUCACGCUGUAAUGUAUUUAUAGCGGUUAUUAAUCACACAGUAGUGUUUUUUAAAUGUUCCCAUUUUAUUAGGUGUAACCAAAUUCUCAAUAGCACUUCAGUGAAUGUGAGUUCUGCCUUCACAUUAGCAAGAGGGAAAAUACAACAAACCAGCUAACUUGGCCUUGCUUUCUGCAAUGUCAGAAAACUAUAAACUGCAUAAAUGGGAGGCACUACCACAUUAUGAAAGCAAUUUUAAGAAAAAUGUGCCAUUUAUGGAAGAAGCACACUUAAAGAUUUUUGUAAUUACAAAUAUUUGUACUGUUAAGUGAAUUGCAUUAAAGUAUUUGUCGUUGUUGCUUUAUUUCC